rnacentral:rRNA from 1 species
CCCUUAGAUGUUCUGGGCCGCACGCGCGCUACAAUGAUGAAUUCAACGAGUUUAUAACCUUGGUUGAAAAGUCUGGGUAAUCUUUUGAACUUUCGUCGUGAUGGGGCUAGACCCUUGCAAUUAUUGGUCUCCAACGAGGAAUUCCUAGUAAACGCAAGUCAUCAGCUUGCAUUGAUUACGUCCCUGCCCUUUGUACACACCGCCCGUCGCACCUACCGAUUGAAUGGUCCGGUGAAAUCUUCGGAUUGAGACUUUGAUUUCUUCACGGAAAACGCUGUUUUAAAAAGUUGAUUAAACCUUACCAUUUAGAGGAAGGUGAAGUCGUAACA